UACAGAGGGGGCAAGCGUUGUUCGGAAUUACUGGGCGUAAAGGGCGCGUAGGCGGCCUGCUAAGUCGAACGUGAAAUCCCUGGGCUCAACCCAGGAACUGCGUCCGAUACUGGUUGGCUUGAAUCCGGGAGAGGGAUGUGGAAUUCCAGGUGUAGCGGUGAAAUGCGUAGAUAUCUGGAGGAACACCGGUGGCGAAGGCGGCAUCCUGGACCAACACUGACGCUGAGGAGCGAAAGCGUGGGGAGCGAACAGG
rnacentral:rRNA from 1 species